UGGAAACUUCACAUCUGGUCCCUGGACGGGAUGCGGAGGUUGUAGGUGACCUACCCCAUGAGGUAGUGGACACCAUCAUCUACGAGCGAUUAUGCCUUGAAGUGGAACCUGUUCGUCGAGUAGUGUUCUUCUCACUGAGAGGACCCCCGUAGAUGCCCAAUCAGAGUCAUGCUUCCCUACCAACUU